rnacentral:rRNA from 1 species
UACGUAGGUGGCAAGCGUUGUCCGGAUUUAUUGGGUUUAAAGGGUGCGUAGGCGGUUCCAUAAGUCAGCGGUGAAAUACGGCAGCUCAACUGUCGAGGUGCCAUUGAUACUGCGGAACUUGAGUACUGAUGAGGUAGGCGGAAUUGACGGUGUAGCGGUGAAAUGCUUAGAUAUCGUCAAGAACACCGAUAGCGAAGGCAGCUUACCAAGCAGUAACUGACGCUGAGGCACGAAAGUGCGGGGAUCAAACAGG